CAUGAGGGAGAGAAAGGAAGGGACAGACACAAAAGAGAGAAGGUACAGCUCCUACAUCUGCGCAUCAUGUUGGUGUGAAGACCUGUAAGAAAAUGUCAACAAGUAGGACUCUGUGUCAGAAGCGUGUGAUGUGGAGAACAAUCGCUCUCUCUCUCACUCUCUCACUCACUCUCUCACUCUCUCACUCACUCACUCACUCUCUCACUCUCUCUCACAAACACACACACACACAAUAAACAGUGCUGGUUUUCCUGGCAUUUUGGCAAAGA